UGCCAACUUUGCAGAGAAAGGUAGAGCGAGAGUCAGAGGAGAAGGACGAGGACAAGCAGGACCAGCAAGAGGAAGACCAAGACUACGACGCAGGAGAGCAACUGCCUCUGAUGAGAUUCGGGCCACUUUGUUGGCCAGCGUGGUCAAUCAUGGUCCGACGAUGAUAGAGGCAGGGUUGGGAGGCCAGACAAACUUGAGCCACUUCACUUUGGCUUCAAUCGUCCAGACACAAAGACAUGAGAACACUGAAUAUUUUAAAGAACUGAAAGAGGAAGAUUUUUGACACCUCAAGAGGAGACUGAAACACACGAUAUUGUCGGAGCAAAUAAUGCUUUAAGACCAACGCAAAUACAAACUCAAAUCACUGAAGACCACGGUAUAUUCCAAAAUACUGAACAGGUGACUUUGUCAACACUCGACCAUGUCCUACAGUGAAACCACCUAAAAAUGAAGCAGGUCUACAGGGUGACAUUCGAGAGAAACUCUGAAAGAGUCGAAGAAUUGCGCUAUGACUACGUGCAAAGAGUUCUUGAGUUAGAUGCAGCUGCAGUUCCCCACUAGGAAGGAACGUCAUUGGCCAGCGUGCUAUUGUUGAGGUUCCUGGUCCGCAAGGGGAAACAUCACCACGUGCGCAACUAUGAAUGACCAAGGCGUCCUCCAUCCCCAUCAACCCUCGGCCCCCACAAUACUGUCCAUCUCAUCACUUUCCUGGACACACCACAAAGUGUCCUCACUACAGCAGAGCAGAUGGACCGCCCAACACAACUGGUCCACAACUGGUUCAGCAACCUCCCACGGUUUUCCGCUCUUCAGCAUUCAUAUUAACGCAAGCUCAUGAGCACAUACCCCUCACACAAGUAAUGGAAGAAGCAUAUGUGGCGAUAUCAGGGCUGGAUUUGUGUGUGAGCUUUUUUAUUUGUGUUUAGAGUUUUAAUGAGCCAUGCGUUCAGAAAACGUGUUUCAGAAAUUGAGA